CACUGGUCUGCCUCGUUGACAGGAAGCCCAAGGACAAAUAUCUGCAAAAUGUCAAUCUACGCCACAGCCACGGAGAUGGAUAAAGCCCUCGAGGCUAAGGUCCAUGAGUUCUACCAAGAAGGCAUCGAUGGUGGGAUAAUGAUGAAGCUGGACCGUUUCAAAAACCUGGCGGUCCUGGAUCAGACCUUUGAG